AUGCAGGAUGAAGACAGAUCUGUACCUAUUGCUGCUUUUAUGUCUAUAAGUGGUCAACUCUCCAUAAACAGCACUUGGAAACUCAUCUGCUUAUUCCUUCAGGAAUCACUGAGGAGAUCCUUCUGCAAAACUGUAGCCAAUAAGCCUGAAAUUCCUUUUCUUAUCAACAGGACAAUGUGCCGUGUAGUGCCAGUCCACGUGACCUGUCCUCAGGAAGCAGCAGCAGGAGAGGAGAGUGAAGCUUUGCAUUAG
rnacentral:lncRNA from 1 species